rnacentral:pre_miRNA from 13 species
CCCGCUCUCGCCAGGUGGGGUUAAUAAUCUCGCUGGGGCCUCCAAUUAUGUCGUAACCAGAGAAUUAAUUAAAACACCACACUUUGAGACUAAUUGAGUCCUUUAUUAA